UCCCCUUCGCGAAGCCACCAUUCCUGGUGCCGAUCUCAUCCUCUUAUCCAAAUCCUAAUAGGAAAACAAUUAUGUUUCUGUUUUUAAGAGAGGAGAAUUCACAUUUUUUUCUCACUUGGCCACUAUCGUUCCUUCUUCUUAUCCGUGUAUGCAGGGCAGAGGCUUCUAGUUUCUUCACCUGUGAUCUCUCCCUCAUCCCCUGCGCAUAGGAAGUCAGCUUCUUCACGUCGCCUCCUCCCUAGGCGCCGAUCCUACAGAGCCUCGCUGGUCAUCCCUGCUCUCUCGACGUCUCUCCCAUGGCGCCCUCCCCUUCCUGCCAUGGCCGCCCCUCCCUGCUGCAGCUCGACGCUCCUCCCUGGAGCUCGCCCCUGCCCUCUGUCCAGCGCCCUCCCUGCUGCCCAUGGUAUGGACGCCAGCCCCCUCUCUUGUUGCCAUGGAUAGCCCCUCUUCCAUCUCCUUCCCCAAGCACAAGUCCCAUGGUCGCCCAACCUAGCUCGCCCAGCCACCUCUGCUGCUCCCAUGGUGAUCUCUAAAUUUCUUAGUUGUUUUACUAGUUCUUGUUAAUAUCCUGCUGAUGUGAUGUUUUAUGUGUGUUGAUGUGUGCGAUAUGGAGUAAAAUCCUUGGAGAAAUAGGUGGAGAAGAAGGUUAAGUUCAACGCUCCUUAGGUGUUUGAUGAUAUGCUCGAACUGGUGGCCGUCUUCGUUCUUGCUGAAAUCGGGUCGGAGCAUGAUGUCGUGAGCCAAGUCGUUUGUCCGACUACUUAGUACGCUAGAUAAUUAUGCGAAUUGGAGGGCAUGGAUCAGGAUGGAUCACAAGGUGGCAUUGAUGGACCCAUCUCGAUAUGGACGACUUGAUCAAGUGUCAGGAUUGUUGAUGCUCGCCAAGCGAACGUCAUCUAACCACACUAAGCUAGUGUAUCCCAG